GCCACCAUACCCAGCAACUUCUGAAAUAUUAAGAACGGAGCGAGUGCGCGAUCCUCCUCGCCCGCCGCUAGGUCCAGCCCGGCCCAGCCACCAUGUCCAUCCACUUCAGCUCUCGGCUGCUCAGCUCACGCUCCGCGGGCUUCUCCGGCCACUGCGCCCAGGCUCGCCUGAGCUCCGCGCGCCCCGGCGGCUUCUGCAGCAGCACCCUCUAGGGCCUGGGCGCCUCGUGGCCUCGCGUGGCCAUGCGCUCCGCCUAUGGGGGCCCGCUCGGCGCCGGCAUCCGCGAGGUCACCAUCAACCAGAACCUGCUGGCCCCGCUGCGGCUGGACGCUGACCCCUGCCUCCAGCGAGUGCUCCAGGAGGAACGUGAGCAGAUCAAGACCCUCAACAACAAGUUCGCCUCCUUCAUCGACAAGGUGCGCGUUUUCUGGAGCAGCAGAACAAGCUGCUGGAGACCAAGUGGGCGCUGCUGCAGGAGCAGAAGUCUGCCAAGAGCAGCCGCCUCCCAGACAUCUUUGAGGCCCAGAUUGCUAGCCUUAGAGGGCAGCUUGAGGAGCUGCAGGUGGAUGGGGGCCGCCUGGAGGCGGAGCUGCGGAGCAUGCAGGAUGUGGUGGAGGACUUCAAGAAUAAGUAUGAAGAUGAAAUUAACCGCCGCACAGCUGCUGAGAAUGAGUUUGUGGUGCCGAAGAAGGAUGUGGAUGCUGCCUACGUGAGCAAGGUGGAGCUGGAGGCCAAGGUGGUCGCCCUGAGUGAUGAGAUCAACUUCCUCAGGACCCUCCAUUAAAUGGAGUGACAGAGCUGCAGUCCCAGAUCGCGGACACGUCUGUGGUGCUGUCCAUGGACAACAGUCGCUCCCUGGACCUGGACGGCGUCAUCGCUGAGGUCAAGGCUCAGUAUGAGGAGAUGGUCAAAUGCAGCCGGGCUGAGGCUGAGGCCUGAUACCAGACCAAGUUUGAGACCCUCCAGGUCCAGACUGGGAAGCACGGGGACGACCUCCGGAAUACCCGGAAUGAGAUUGCAGAGAUGAACCGGGCCAUCCAGAGGCUGCAGGCUGAGAUCGACGCCAUCAAGAACCAGCGUACCAAGUUGGAGGCCGCCAUUGCUGAGGCUGAGGAGCGAGGGGAGCUGGCACUCAAGGAUGCUCGUGCCAAGCAGGAGGAGCUGGAGGCCGCCCUGCAGCGGACCAAGCAGGACAUGGCAUGGCAGCUGCGUGAGUACCAGGAGCUGAUGAGCGUUAAGCUGGCCCUGGACCUCGAGAUUGCCACGUACCACAAGUUGCUGGAGGGCGAGGAGAGCCGGUUGGCCGGAGAUGGUGUGGGAGCCGUGAAUAUCUCCGUGGUGAAUUCCACUGGAGGCAGUGGCAAUGGCAGUGGUGGUGCCAUUGGGCUGAGCUUUGGGGGAACCAUGGGCAGCAAUGCCCUGAGCUUCUCCAGCAGUGUGGGUCCUGGGCCCCUGAAGGCUUAUUCCAUCUGGACCACAUCCACCAGCCGAAAGAGCGCCCGCAGCUGAGCUGCUUCCCACCCCUCCAUUCCCCCAGCCACUACCCACAGUCCCAGAAGAUUCCCCUCCCUGCCUCCCAUGCCUGUUCCCAAGACCGAGAGACAGGCUCGAAAGUGAUGUCAGAAUAGCGUCCAAUAAAGCAGCCUCGUUCUGAGAUCUGA